GAGAGAGAAAUAGAGACAGGGUGUGAAUGUAUGUGAGUGUGGUUUGCAAUGCGUGCCCGCACAUACACACACACACACACACACACACACACACACACACACACACACACACACACAGGACAGUGUGUGGCACCUCUUCAAUCACCCUGGCUAAUUCUCUAUUGCCAUAAGACAUUUAUCUUUCCCAGCUAUGAGAUGCUGCUUGGCCCAGACAGAUUGUGCCUGUAAUGUAUUCUCAUGAAGACCAGCUGAUGAAGAAAAAAGAACGAAUAAAAGCCCUGUAUGUUUACCAUCUCCAUGACAACCACAAGAGGCCAGACAAAGGGCAUUCAGGAUCCAAGUCCUGAUGCAAGUGGACCGGUGGACCGGUGGACCGGUGGACCGGUUCCUUUUGGACAUCUGGUUCCUCUCAUGUCAUCUCAGGGAGUUCUUUCCUCUCCACUGUUGCCUCUAAAUCUAUACCUGGAUUUCUGUAAAGCUGCUUCGUGAAACUGUUUAUUAUACAAAUACAAAUAAAAUUGCACUGAAUUAAAUCACUUACCCGACCAGCAUGUUCUAGCAUGUUUCAUUUCAGAAUACUUUAAGUGUAAGCUUGUGUAUGUGGCAUAUUACGACUUUUUUUUUUCCUGUGGUUAGAUAAUUGAGACAGGGUGUGUACCACCAGUGUCAGCAUGAUAAAUCUCAGCUCACCAGAAAACACCCUCGCCUCAGACUCAAACACACCCAUGCCAGGCUGCAUAUCCUGUGCAAAUGCACAAAAUCUAAUUUGCUUCUGUAACUCAGCCAUCAUUACUGGAGAGAA